rnacentral:lncRNA from 1 species
GGCAAACUGCCUGCCCUACAGCACCCAAUGUCACAGGAAGGCCAAAAAGAUCAUCAAGGACAACAACCACCCAAGCCACUGCCUGUUCACCCCGCUAUCAUCCAGAAGGCGAGCUUCCCAGGCAACCAUCACAGCAGGAAUGCUGUGAUACGAAACCAGCUUUCCCAAGGCAAAGAAGGGGAUGUAUGUUGUAAAGACAGACCCAACAUUCUGUAAGUAAUAGUUAUUCAUUUCAAAUCAAUUGAGCAUUUCAGGCACACAAAAAUUCCAAAUACAAACAUAGAAAAAUUUCACAACAAAGGGCACGACCAAAUAUUGCACAUUUCUAAAACAGUACUUCAAAAACACCAGAAAACAUAUUGUAGAAUGAUUAGAUCACUAUAUCAACAAAUUGACGCGUCAUAAAUAAAAGGAAAUUCAAUGAAUUACCCAUUUACAAACAUUUCCCAUUUACAUCUUCUCUUCAACGAGGUCACGCUUGAUCCAGCGCCGUAUGUAAGGAAGCUGUGCAAGCAGUCCAUCCCAAGACCCAUGUUUGCACAGUGUGAGGCCUGACAAGGAGGAUGUCAUAACUGGAUUUGUAUCCUGCUUCAAUCGUGGGGGUGACUGAAGCCAAGUGGGUGACUUAAGCCUGCUUGAUUGAAUCGGGGAACAUGGGUCCCCCUCUUCUCCCACUCCCCUCCAUUCCCCAUCAAUCUAAGGAGGAGGUCAGAGACCUGGCAGUGUGGUGCCAGGACAACAACCUCUCCCUCAACGUGAGCAAGACAAAGGAGAUGAUCGUGGACUACAGGAAAAGGAGGGCCGAAAACGCCCCCAUUCACAUCGACGAGGCUGCUGUGGAGCGGGUUGAGAGUUUCAAGUUCCUUGGUAUCCACAUCACAAACAAACUAUCAUGGUCCAAACACACCAAGAAAGUUGUGAAGAGCGCACAACAACGCAUUUUCCCCCACAGGAGACUAAAAUGAUUUGGAAUGGGUCCCCUGAUCCUCAAAAAGUUCUACAGCUGCACCAUCGAGAGCAUCUUGACCGGUUGCAUCACCGCCUGGUAUGGCAACUACUUGGCAUCAGACCGUAAGGCGCUAGAGAGAGUAGUGUGUACAACCCAGUACAUCACUGGGGCCAAGCUUCCUGCCAUCCAGGACCUAUAUGCCAGGCAGUGCCAGAGGAAGGCCCAAAAAAUGGUCAAAGACUCCAGUCACCCAAGUCAUUGACUGUUCUCUCUGCUACCACACGGCAAGCAGUACCGGGGCGCCAAGUCUAGGUCUAAAAGGCUCCUUAACAGCUUCUACCUUGAAACCAUAAUACUGCUGAACAAUGAAUCAAAUGGCCACCCAGACUAUUUACAUUGACGCCCACACACCCCGCCACCCCUUUGUUUUUACACUGCUGCUACUUGCUGUUUAUUAUCUAUGCAUAGUCACUUUACCCCUACCUACAUGUACAAAUUACUUCAGCUAACCUGUAACCGCGCACAUUGACUCAGUACCGGUACCCCCUGUAUAUAGCCUCAUUAUUGUUAUUUUAUUUUGUUACUUUUUAUUUCGACUUUAUUUAGUUUAUUUAGUAAAUAUUUUCAUAACUGUAUUUUCUUAAAACUGCAUUGUUGGUUAAGGGCGUGUAAGUAAGCAUUUCACUGUAAGGUCUACCUGUUCAGCACAUGUGACAAAUAAAAUUGAUUUGAUUUAAUACAG